rnacentral:rRNA from 1 species
AAUCUAUUCAGAGGAACCUGUUCUGUAAUCGAUAGUCCACGAUUAAAAUUACUUAUUUUUAUAUUUGCAUAUCGCCGUAGAUAGAAUAUUUUUUUAGAAAAAUGAAUAUUCAAAAUUUAUAAGAUAAAAGAUUUCAGGUCAAGGUGUAGUUUAUAGAUAAGAAGAAAUGGGUUACAUUAAAUAUAUUUAGACGAAUUUAAAUUUUAAUAAUUUUUUGAAGGUGGAUUUGAUAGUAAUUUUAAAUAUAUAUAUUUAAAAUGAUUUUAGCUCUAAAAUAUGUACAUAUCGCCCGUCGCUUUCACUCUAAAGUGAAAUAAGUCGUAACAAAGUAGGUGUACUGGAAGGUGUCCCUGGAGGUAU